AUUGAACGCUGGCGGCAUGCUUUACACAUGCAAGUCGAACGGCAGCACGGGUGCUUGCACCUGGUGGCGAGUGGCGGACGGGUGAGUAAUACAUCGGAACGUGUCCAGAAGAGGGGGAUAACGCAUCGAAAGAUGUGCUAAUACCGCAUAUGCUCUGAGGAGGAAAGUGGGGGAUCGAAAGACCUUACGCUUUUGGAGCGGCCGAUGUCUGAUUAGCUAGUUGGUGGGGUAAGGGCCUACCAAGGCGACGAUCAGUAGCGGGUCUGAGAGGAUGAUCCGCCACACUGGGACUGAGACACGGCCCAGACUCCUACGGGAGGCAGCAGUGGGGAAUUUUGGACAAUGGGCGCAAGCCUGAUCCAGCAAUGCCGCGUGAGUGAAGAAGGCCUCGGUUGUAAG
rnacentral:rRNA from 1 species